rnacentral:lncRNA from 1 species
GGGCGGGCGGCGGGGCGGCGCGGCUCAGGCGCUUGCGGCGCCGUCGGAAGACGCCGUCGGCGAAGGUGUACUCGCUGCUGGGGUUGAGCAUCCAGUAGUUGUCCUUGCCCCAGGGCCGCGCCGGGUCGCGCAGCACCUUGACGAAGCAGUCGUUGAGCGAGAGGUUGUGGCGCACCGAGUUGCGCCAGCCCGUGUAGGCGCCGCGGAAGAAGGGGAAGCGGCUCAUCAGGUUCCUCCCCUUCCCGGGCAUUUCGAACGAAGCGGCCGCUCGGCGUGACUCCGCAUCGCCGGGCCCGCCUCCCAGGUGUAAAAUGCGGAGCGACUUAUAGGUGGCAGAGCAGAACCUGGUACGCGCCGUGAUUUAUUUUAAUAGCGCUGCAUAGAGCAACAAGUUGUAAUGUGACAGCUCAACAACGUGUUGGAAAAUAACACGCUGCUCCGCAGCUGGGAAUUCCUCAUGAUUUAUGUAGCCCGACAAAGUCGUUUCAGUCCUGGCCCCUCUUUCCUUCUGUCGUAAGCACGCCCUGUAUAGGGGUAAGAUGUGAACAGGUAGGCAAUACUGUGCGCUUUUGCUGCGGGAGAGAAGUAGUCAAAACCUUAACUUCAGUUUUAGGUAUGCUACUGUGCAUAUAGUAGCGUUGCUUGAUCUCGUCCGGAUGUUUGUAAUGUUAUAACUGUUGCUCUCCAAUAAAAUCUUUAUUUAUUUAUUUAUUUUUAAAGUG